rnacentral:rRNA from 1 species
UACGUAGGGGGCAAGCGUUGUUCGGAAUUACUGGGCGUAAAGGGCGCGUAGGCGGCACAGCAAGUCGGGAGUGAAAGCCCGGGGCUCAACCCCGGAAUGGCUUUCGAAACUGCUGAGCUAGAGUACAGAAGGGGCAACCGGAAUUCCCAGUGUAGCGGUGAAAUGCGUAGAUAUUGGGAAGAACACCCGAGGCGAAGGCGGGUUGCUGGGCUGAUACUGACGCUGAGGCGCGAAAGCCAGGGGAGCAAACGGG